AGAGAGAAGGAUUGCACACAUGCAAAACAUGAAUGCAAAUGCUAUGGAGAACAAUGGACAAUGGCAGCCACUAACUCAAGAGAGAAGGUUCACGCACAGGCAAAACAUGAAUGCAAAUGCUAUGGUGACCUAUGAACAAUGGCAACCACAAACUCAAGUCAGACACAUGCAAAACAUGAAUACAAAUGCUAUGGUGAACAGUGGACAAUGGCAGCCACAGACUCAAGG